rnacentral:sRNA from 1 species
UAAUUUUCAAAACGAAUCAUAUCAUUUAGUUUGCUAUGUGUCUCUUUUCCCUUAUUCUCACUCUCUCUUAUUUUUCGUUAAGACGGACUGCUUAACCCGCUAUUCUAAACCUUUAUUUUCUAAAAUUACUUUUGUAUAACUGAAAUCUGAAAAAUACAAAA